GUGAAUCAUCGAAUCUUUGAACGCAAAUUGCACUCUCCUCUACGAUGAUGGCUAUUUGAGUGUGAGCCUAAAUAAAAUCGACAGAGUUGCUGUUACGCGGUCACAUUCCUCGGAGAUGGGGUCAUCUUAAACCUUUGGGUUUAGGCGGCUUAAAAUGUUCUUUACGAGUCCAUGAACGUUUCUAAGAUUUUAUGUUCUUAUACGUGUAAGGUAUCGAUCUUUAUUAGACGUGGCCGGUGCAGCGGGGCUCGGCGAUAAAUAUUUCG
rnacentral:misc_RNA from 1 species